rnacentral:lncRNA from 1 species
AUCCCCGGUGUCCGUGCGAUGUAUGCGUGGAGCUUCCUUUGGAAAAUUCCACUGUCCGCACAUAAAAUUCCACUGUCCGCACAUAUAGCUGCACGUCGCUUGUCUGGGAAGGUUACAUAAUGAUUGGAGGCCAUCCUUCAGUGCUCUUUCGAGCAGUUCGCCGAUCUUAAUUAUUCAACGGAUUUGAAAGGUAAAGUAAUGUUUCGGAGCUGGCUGGCGACCUUUGGGGACUUCGUCCUACCGUGUGUUAGUAAUUAUCGUAACCAUGGAGCUAGCGAUCCAGUACUGGAUAAAUACGGCUUUUGGUGCUGUGGAGGACUCGCCUAACCCGAGCCCCUGUUCGGCAUUGCAACCCGGGGAAGUUGUGUGCAGUGGUUAGAGAGUCACGUACUGUUCCUAAUCCGUGGUACUACCUUUGCCGUUUCGGACUUAGGGUUUUUUAACCCUUAGUUGACGACCUUUUGGAACUCGUUAGUAAUUGCCACAACUUCGGAGCUAGCGGAGCCAGGAUCGGAUAAGUACGGCACGUGGUAAUGAAGAGCGCUAGCUUGAUUAUAUCAGCGGACCAUAUUAUUAAUAUUGUAAGCCAAAGUUAAGUUCGAGCAAUCCCGUUCUUCAGGGCAUACGCCAGUUUCACGGCAAGUCAAGUAAGCUUACGCGUCCCGAUUGUUUAGGAGUGAUCCGGUUCCUUUCAGUUGGCAUAGGUGAUCCACCUCGCCUCGCUCGUGUCAUCGUCAUCAUCGUUUUGUCUACCACCAUGGUGUCUACAAAUCCGACCUUUCUCACCGAGGUGGAGCCCGUUCUCCGACUGUUCCUCCAGGCAUUCAACAAGUACGAGCUGCAGUUUCCCGUCGACACCACGCAGCUGCCGUCCCACACGCCACUGGUUGUAACGAUCCUAAAGCAAGCCUAAAAAACAAGCUUCUACUCACCACGUCAUCCACGCUCACAGUUCUUCCAUGAAAUAAUGAGGUGUCCGCAUUCCGCAACUUUGAUUUCUGCAGGGUAACAAUGUCUCAAUCCACUGUUCGCAGGACACACAUGCCUAGCCGCCUUACUAUGAUCGCAACGUCCCACAUGCGCACGGCCGUUCUGUUGAGAAAUGACACUAUAAAAGGUCGCCUACUAUACUCAGCUGUUAUCUGAACACAAGAUCCCAGACACCUAAGCAAGGGUCUGCCCAAACCAGUGCCGAGCACCGGACGCGGGCCGAGUAUCGCCCUGCAUAGCUUAACACCCAAAUCGUGUCACAGCUCUGUCCCUUCGUUUCAAAAUUCGUUCCAAAACACGCUAGGCUAGCAUGCAUCU